AUCCCCGGCACGAACUCAUCAUAUGUUAGUGAAAGUGUAUGAGGGGAACAGCGGCGGCGGAGGACGAGCUGCCAUGGCAGGAGAGGUGCCUCCAUUCGGCCGGUGGACAUAUUGUCCUCAUGGGCGGGAGGGGACGUGAAGGAGGCACGUGAGCAGACAAGCUAGUUAUGCCACUCCAUGGAGAACCCUCCUCCUCCUUUGACGUCCAAUGCCUGCAGAUUAGUUGAAAGGGUGAAGAGGUCGCAACCUUCCUGGGAGAUGUUUUACGAUGACACGGUUGAGAACGACUGAUUUGUCUUCACUGGAGCGUGCUGCUGGCAUCAUCUACAUGCAGAGAGAGAGUGCGAGAGAGGUGGGGGUUUUCUUGGAGGGAUGUGUGGAGGAGGGCAAGCUGUAAAUUAGCCAGUUUGGCAGACUGAUGGUCAGUGGCAGUUAAAAAAACCCAGCACCCACCUUGACCUCAGUUUAGGACAUCCAGCUGAGCCAAGAAUGGGAGGAGGUCUUUACUGUGGUGUGGUGGUAAAUACAGUAUGUAGUAGACAUUGAGAAGACCACCUUUGUCUCAUGUGCAUAUUUUUCUGUAUUCUUUAUUCAAUUUCACAAUAUAUUUAUCAAAGUACUCAUAUAACAAAAUAUACAAAACAGUGCAUAUAAUUGAUGAAUUUCACACUGAAAUUAUUCCAAAAUGUUUAAACGGAGGUUCAACAAAUAUUUGCUUUAGUCCUGUUACGCUAUAAUUUCUUGUACUGGUUAUUGACAAUUACUUUUUAAAUCAACCCUAUAUAUCAGCAGUGAAGAACGCACUCAUAUAAUAUUGCAUUACAUUGAAACAAAACUACACUAUGCUUGUACAGCUUUGCAGUAUUGGCCUCUGGACCUGGAGUCUUGUUUCCUUGAUGUGGCUGAUUCAUUUAAAGUUAAUAAUAAUAAUAAUAAUAAGUCAGUUGUUAUACAAAAUAUUUACAUUUUUGGAUGGACAUGUUGUAAUUUUGUAACUUAAAAUUAUAUGAAGUGAACCCCACUAUAUCACAGUUAUAGCUCAGAUUUUAAAGUGAUCGUUUUCUAUGGGUCCGAAUCGAGUUGCACACCUUCAGUGUAGGACCACGUUGUGCUGCAACAUGCUCUGUGUUUUACUGGAAGAAAUACAGCAUAUUUAGAGCAAGAACAGGCAGAGAAGGUUCCCAACUACUGUAAGAUCCAGUAAUGGUUGUUCCCACAAAGCAGAGAGAAUUUAUACCUGUGAGUAUUAUUGUACUGUGUGCCCGUCGAUGGUGUUACACAUUAUAUAAUAGCAUUACGCUAGCAGACUUUCGUUACAUGAAAUUACAUGGUUUGGUUGAAAAUUUUUGUGCUUACAAUGUCUAAUGCUCUUCUGUUUCAUGUUUCAAUGUUACACUUAAACUAAGUGACAAAUAAACAGCUUGAAGCAAACAAA